GAAAAAGUACGCAAGAACUGCUAACUCAUGCCCCCAUGCGUAAAAACAUGGCUUUUUCA
rnacentral:tRNA from 1 species